rnacentral:misc_RNA from 1 species
CUGACAUUGGUUGCUGCUGCUGGGACUUUCUGAGACUCCUCAAACUUUCAUACAACCUUGGUGGGGGUCUCCCAUCCUAAGAUUAACCAAUGACAAUCCUGCUUAGCUCCCACCAGCUAAGAGAGACCAGCUACUUAGGUUUCAAUUAUCUUUUAUUUCAUGGCCUGUUUCAGA